UAUAGGCUCGUGGUGGAGAGCGGUCAUGCACCAGUGAAAAAGGACGAUUCUACGAUUCCUUUUAAAACCAAACAACUCGGCAAUUAUUACAAACUAGUCGUUAACCCGUGGAAGAAUCCAUGGGGUCGCCUGUCCUUUAUAUAUCGCAUUUCAUGUUUUCGUAACAGGAAGCGUCUUUAAUGGCAGACAGACAGACGACGGCUAUUAUUAACUAGCCGUUAACCCGUGGAAAAAUCCACGGGGUCGCCCGUCCCUUAUAUAUCGCAUUUCGUGUUUCGUGUUUCUGUAACAGGACGCGGUUUUCGCGGACAGACAGAAAAAAUACGGCUAUUAUUAAAGAGAAGAGAAGAAGGACAGCAGAAGCAUUCCUUCACUUCUUACAGAAUUUAAAUGCUUGUAACCGGAUUUUUAACAUGUCCACAACAGAUUGUGCGUUUUUAACAGCUUUUGUAAUUAAGAUGCAUCGAACCCGUUGAUGAUAAUUUCUGCUUCGUUGCUUAAAUAGUGGUAAAGUUGAACGAUUCAGGAAGCGUGGACUGGUUUUAAAUCUAACAACUUUGAGGAAAUCUUCACAUCCGCAGGAUCAAUGCCUCGUUUCAACUGAAUUGCCACUUGAUUUGAAAACUUUUUAUUGUACAAACUUUGUUUUAAUAAGAAAUAACAAAAAUCCAAAAUAAACAAAAUUUUCGUCGAACAAAAUUUUUCGCGGACUAAAAUGACGAAAACUUCAGGUGUCCGAAAAAUUUUGUCGGACAAAAGUGAAAACACAGAAAACAGCCCGUCCAGCUAAAAAAAUCGCUCAGCAAUUUUAUUUUGCGGAAUAAGUCUGGUGUAGCUACCUGCUUUUGGCAUAAGAAUUACUAAUUAAGAAUUUUGUUGUAGCUGGCUAAACUGUAUCACACAUGCUUUUAGGCUUAAUACGCUUUUCAAAAAAACUAGAUUGCAUCUUUGGUUUACAGAACACAGAAUACACUCUGUAAAAAGGCUAGGUAACUGUUACCCGCCGUUGAACACCCGGAUGAGUGAUUAAUAAGAGCCGUCAACUGCGCCACAUAUUCAGGUAAAGCGCUUUAGUAAAGUUAUGUAGUAUGUAGUAAAUCAAAUGAAGUGCACACAACUUUAUGGUGUGUCCAGUGUAAUAUGUUUUUUAUCAAAUAACUUUCCACAACUUAAGCUGAAAUAAAAACACAGAUUACAAUUUGUUGUUACCCCGUCAUAGCAAAAACUUUCUGGCAAACCUUUUUUAUUUUUCGGAUAAUGUUCCCGGUGAGUGUUAGCUGACCAUUUAGUACGGGUAAAUAAUGUGACACAUCCAUACAGAUGUAAUACCAAUUUACCAUGUCACACAUGAGUAUAGGCGUAACACUAUUUUUCAAAAGAACUUCAUCGCAAAUUCGGUUAAAAAAAGUCCAGGAAACCGCUGUUGUUAUCAUGUUCAGUUAAAAAAAUACUCAGCAAUUUUAUUUUGCACCAUAAGUUUUCAUAACAGUAAUAAAAGUGGUAUCUGCCUAACUUCAUUUAGCAUAAGAAUUAAGAAUUGUGUUGCAGCCAAACUGCAUUUGGCUACUUUCACUUUUUGGUCAGAAGUAGCUAAGGAGCUAGCUAGGUAAACACAACUUUAACAUAAAAAUAAAUAAUACUGGCUAGGAUAUAAAGCUGUUAUACUAAACUGAAUAGUAAUAACUAAGGCUAGCUAGCUAGCUGAUUGUAGAAUGCUCCUUAAAAAUCUUCGUUCCUAGCCAAAAAUCAAGAAAUUUUUGGGUUUGAGAUUUGUACUUAGCUACAAAACGUGAGAAUAUAUUUAUCUUAACAUGUAAAAAUAUGUAAAAAACAAAAAUGAAAACCUUUUUGAAGACAAAAACAGAUUAACCGUCAAUGCCACAGCUUUUAAAAUGGCCGUAGCUCAGAUUGCUUUAUCUUUCCUUCAUUGGUAAAAAUCUGAUUCUGCGGGGUUUUCCCAAAAUUUUCUGAUAAAAGCCGCGCACAACCAUUUUGAAUAUACAGAAUACGGCUAUUAUUAAAGAGAAGAUGGACAACAGAAGUGAUAACCAUUAAAAGAAAUAAACUAACACUAAAUACACAAGAGAAAUCAGUGUCAUUAAGGCUUUUUAACUAACUAUACAUAGAUUUCCAUAGAUUGUAAUUGCAAUAUAAUGUGUGUUACGAGUAAGUUAUGUGUGUUUGAGAAUGUAUUUACAGUCUCUGUGGAUAAAGAAGUAAAAAAAUUGUUGGAAAAAAACUUCAUAAAAGACUGCAUGUAAUGAUUGCAUGAUCCUUCUCUAAAGUGACCCUGUUCAUUUAGGUGCAGUGAUGGGUUGUAUGAAGAAAAAAGUGCCAGCUUGUAUAAGAAUCGUGUUUUCAGUGUAAAUUUAGCUGAUUACUUAUACAAGACUAGUUGAUAAAGCCCAUGUGAAAAUCCACUAAGGCAGAAGAACAAUGGAAAAAUAGGUUGCUUUAGAUUUUUUGCCGACGUCAGCAGUGCAUAUACAAAAAGAAAAUUGGUUAAAAUUAGUCAUUCGUUGUCUGUAAGGUGUGGAGGUUGAAACGUUGACCAAAAUAAUGUAUGGUAUCGUAUGUUUUUGACAAACGCUUAGGGAGAUAUAAGGGCUUAAAAAUUUUUCUGACGUCAGCAAAGUCCCUACCAAAAGUUCCAAAAAAUUUCUUAAUUCGUACACCCGAUGCAUUCAUCGUAUAGAUCUUGAAAUGCAGAUCAAGAAAAUGUAUAGGAACAUGGACUUUUGACAAACGGUUGCAGAGAUAUUGGGGUUUGAAGGUUUUGUGAUGACGUCCUCAACCUUUCCAUUCCGAAACGGAUUCGGGGACCCAGGCUUGGGAAACUUACCCAAAUUGGUCCCGGGUGAUCCCUAGUUACUUACGUGGUGAAAAAUCACUGACGUCACCACCUCGUUUUCAAGUUAUUUGGCGGUUGCAGAGAUAUUGGGGUUUGAAGGUUUUGUGAUGACGUCCUCAACCUUUCCAUUCCGAAACGGAUUCGGGGACCCAGGCUUGGGAAACUUACCCAAAUUGGUCCCGGGUGGUCCCUAGUUACUUACGUGGUAAAAAAUCACUGACGUCACCACCUCGUUUUCAAGUUAUUUGGCCUCAAAGCUUUAAGUGCACUGUAAUGGCUUCAUUUAUUUAAUAUAGAAUAUUAACGUUAAAGUAGUCUUAUUGACGUCGCGCCGUAACGUCAGAAAAUUUAACAUAUUAGACAUGCAUUUUUCAGUUACUUCAAAGAAAAUUUCGGUAAGAUCAAAGGAAAAUGAACAUAUCCACUUUGCCUGUUAUAUAUAUAUAUAUAUAUAUAUAUAUAAUGUAUAUAAGAUAAAUGUUUAUCAUUCAUUUAUUUUUUAUGUUAAAAAAUAAUUAUUUGAGGAAACUUAUUUUUUUUAGGAAAAUCUUUGUAAAACAUUCACAUAACUAUUUAAGUAAUUUUGUUUAGAUAAAUGCUGUAAUGCCAAAAGGAAAAUACUGGGUUAGGCAGCCAAUGAGAACAGACAAAAGAUAUUGCCGACAGAAACGAUGGUGAAAGCAUUAGAGAACAAAGAAUCUUUGCAACAAGUGAAGGUUAGUCCGAACAUAUUAACUGUUUUCAUGUUAGGGAAAUGCUCGAAUGUUCGUUGUUAUCAAUCUCAAGAAACCCUUUCGUAUUAACGAAUAAGAUUUGUUCCAUUUUUAUUUAUCUUAUCUUUAGUGAAGAAACUCAAAGUCGCGAUAACCUAGAUUCACAGCAAGCAUGACGAAUUCAUGGUGGUUCAGUUAAAUUUAAAAUAUAAAAUUAUUGAUAGAUAGACAAUUGUCAACCAGGCCUUAACUUUUGCAAUCUUAAAGUUAAAGUCCAAUAGACAAGUAAAAAUUAGGGCCUAAAAAUAUUUUUCCGUUCGACUUCCUUUUGAAUAUUUUUCAUUUUGUGUCGUAGUGUAAAACGUUUGUAAUAUUUUUUUGCAUAUUGGGAAAAGCUGCCAAAAGGGAACAAAUCCAUAGUUCAGCUUGUUUUGAUUAACCACAAAAAAAGCUUAGGGAUGAAUUUCCCGUAUUUAAAAGCAAUCCAUACACAUUGUUUCAGUAAAUUCGGUCUUUGAAAAAACACGUUUGGGGAGAUAAUUUACCCGCAUUAAGAAGCAAUCCAUACAAGCAAUCCAUGAUAUUCAGUUCUUUUAGUAAAUUCGGUCUUUAGAAAAAACAUUUACGGAGAUAAUUUACCGGUAUUAAGAAGCAAUCCAUACAUUUGUAGCUAUAGGAAUAACCAACAAGAUAGAUGACUACAUCAAGAAUUAAGUAAAAAGAUUUUAUUAUUUAAAAUUUUCGUCAGUUCAUCGACUGACUUCUUCAGUAUCGCUUACAAUACAGUAUUAACAAUUAAAAUAUCUUAUAUAGUGAUAAAAAUAAAUUAUAUACAAUUAAAUACACAAGGGUUUAAAACUGGUUUCCAUCACCAUCAUCCUACUAUCAACUUAACACACGGUUUCUACAACUUGCAUUUUUCUGUUCUUUUAGUUCUAUUCCAGUCAUGAGAACCAUUAAGUCCCUGAUGUUGUGUGACGAGUGUCCCUAUCCAGAAUUUUUCUUUAUCUAAUAGCAAACUAUCAAUUUGCCUGUUUGUUAAAUUCUCUCCAUUGUUCACAACAUCAACUAUAAUAAACCCAAUAUUUUGCACGGAGGCAUUAGGGCAUUCAUCAAUAAAAUGUUUCACAACUUUGCAAGAUGGUAUCUUCUUUUUAAUGUGGGAUUUGUAAUUCGAAAGUCGAGGCUUCCAAGCAAUGUAAAAAUAUAUAAAAAAACAAGGACAGACUUAGCAACGUCAACGUUACGCAACUUUCAAAAUGGCCGUAAUAACACUGCUCUCUGCUUUACACAUCCCUUUGUCGUGGCUGCAAAAUCUCGGAUUGGUUUUUCAAAAAAAAUCAGGCGUUGCAAUUGAAUGCUACACGCGGGAGAAUAAAACAAAGUCGGUAAAUAUAUAUCGCAUUUGGUAUUUUGUGCAGAUA